rnacentral:rRNA from 1 species
UACGAAGGGGGCUAGCGUUGCUCGGAAUUACUGGGCGUAAAGGGCGCGUAGGCGGGUCGUUAAGUUAGAGGUGAAAGCCCAGGGCUCAACCCUGGAAUUGCCUUUAAUACUGUCGACCUUGAGUAUGGCAGAGGUGUGUGGAACUCCGAGUGUAGAGGUGAAAUUCGUAGAUAUUCGGAAGAACACCAGUGGCGAAGGCGACACACUGGGCCAUUACUGACGCUGAGGCACGAAAGCGUGGGGAGCAAACAGG